rnacentral:rRNA from 1 species
GACGGAGGUGGCGAGCGUUGUUCGGAAUCACUGGGCUUAAAGGGCACGCAGGCGGCUUGGUGUGUCCGGUGUGAAAUCCCUCGGCUCAACCGAGGAACUGCGCCGGAAACUGCCAAGCUUGAGGAUCGGAGAGGUGAGUGGAACUCCAGGUGUAGCGGUGAAAUGCGUAGAUAUCUGGAGGAACGCCGGAGGCGAAAGCGACUCACUGGACGGUUCCUGACGCUGAGGUGCGAAAGCCAGGGGAGCGAACGGG